rnacentral:tRNA from 3 species
CGGGUUGUGGCUCAGUUUGGUAGAGCGCUGCGUUCGGGACGCAGAGGUCGCAGGUUCAAAUCCUGUCAACCCGACCA